rnacentral:rRNA from 1 species
GACAGAGGGUGCAAACGUUGCUCGGAAUCACUGGGCGUAAAGGCGUGUAGGCGGGAAUGUAAGUCGGGCGUGAAAAUCCCUAGGCUCAACCUAGGAACUGCACUCGAAACUGCGUUUCUUGAGUAUCGGAGAGGAAAGCGGAAUACCUGGUGUAGAGGUGAAAUUCGUAGAUAUCAGGUGGAACACCAGUGCGAAGGCGGCUUUC